rnacentral:rRNA from 1 species
UGCAGUCGAGCGGAACGAUCCUAGCUUGCUAGGAGGCGUCGAGCGGCGGACGGGUGAGUAAUGCAUAGGAAUCUACCCAGUCGUGGGGGAUAACCUGAGGAAACUCAGGCUAAUACCGCAUACGUCCUACGGGAGAAAGCGGGGGCUCUUCGGACCUCGUGCGAUUGGAUGAGCCUAUGUCGGAUUAGCUAGUUGGUAAGGUAACGGCUUACCAAGGCGACGAUCCGUAGCUGGUCUGAGAGGAUGAUCAGCCACACCGGGACUGAGACACGGCCCGGACUCCUACGGGAGGCAGCAGUGGGGAAUAUUGGACAAUGGGCGAAAGCCUGAUCCAGCCAUGCCGCGUGUGUGAAGAAGGCUUUCGGGUUGUAAAGCACUUUCAGCGAGGAAGAAAGCGUGCCGUUUAAUACACGGUACGGACGACAUCACUCGCAGAAGAAGCACCGGCUAACUCCGUGCCAGCAGCCGCGGUAAUACGGAGGGUGCAAGCGUUAAUCGGAAUUACUGGGCGUAAAGCGCGCGUAGGCGGCGUGUCACGCCGGGUGUGAAAGCCCCGGGCUCAACCUGGGAACGGCAUCCGGAACGGGCAGGCUAGAGUGCAGGAGAGGAAGGUAGAAUUCCCGGUGUAGCGGUGAAAUGCGUAGAGAUCGGGAGGAAUACCAGUGGCGAAGGCGGCCUUCUGGACUGACACUGACGCUGAGGUGCGAAAGCGUGGGUAGCAAACAGGAUUAGAUACCCUGGUAGUCCACGCCGUAAACGAUGUCGACUAGCCGUUGGGUCCCUUGAGGACUUAGUGGCGCAGUUAACGCGAUAAGUCGACCGCCUGGGGAGUACGGCCGCAAGGUUAAAACUCAAAUGAAUUGACGGGGGCCCGCACA